GCCGAUUUAAUUUAAUUGGUAGAGUACUUGAUUUGUAAUCAGGUGGUAGGGGUUCAACUCCUCUAGUCGGCA